rnacentral:lncRNA from 1 species
GAGUAUAGGUAAUAUUAUAAAAAGAACAAUAACGAUUUCUCAUUCAAAUUUUGCCGUGCUUAACAAUAUCCAUGCAAAUACAUCGGCUAAGGAUGUAAGAGUGAUUUAGAGACAAGGCUGGAGCUUGGGAGGCUUUGAAAAUUUCUGGCCAUGGGUUUGGGAAUGAUCAGAACAUGAGUGGUUGCACAAAUACAAAGGAUGCAUAGAAUAACCUAAUAAGAACUGGAUGAUUAGAACAGCACAUCCUUGGAAGCAGUGUUUGCUGGAGAUAAACCCACUGAAGACGACUGAACUUCUGAAGAGGUUAAAUAGGAAUGAGAGUGUAUUCUCAUUCACAUAAAGAUAACAGGGUCACCAUGGCAGACAUGGCAGCAUCUUCCAUUAAGUUGUGAUUUAGCCUCAAAUGAUGAGUGAUCGAGAAUUGCCCUAGUGUAUUUUACUUGGAUCAGAUUCAUCUAUGUGAAAGGCAUUAUACUUUAUUGACAUAAUUUUACAUGUUUCAUCUUUUUUCAAUGUGCGUUACAUGUUUCCUUUUCUUUCUACAAUGAAUGCUGAGAAAGUUAUCCUGCUCCUGGAGAUUCAUAACAUAAAAACAGAGUAAGUCAGAUAGCUGCGAUUCAAAGCAAAUCUAAAGAAUUGAGCUUGACCGCUUUAUUUGUUGACAUGGAAAUAGACCUGCAGAGUGGAGUGACUUGCUAAGGACAGACAGUUAGUAUGCUUUUCACAGUAGCUGAUUAUGUUGCUGCCCCACUCUCUCCUCUAUGACUAAUGCUGGAGACACGGAUCUUAACACAUUGUCGUUAUAUCUAUUAGAAGUGGGCAUUAUGUUAAUGAAGAUUUCUCAUGAAAGGCUCAUGAGAUCAUUAAGCUGUUUUAAUAAGAGAUAAAAUAUUAUUUACUGUUGACAAUUUUCAACUCGCCACAGAAAUCCACAAAUCAAAAGUUUUUUUCUUUUAUAUUUGUACAGAUUCUAACAGUGCCUACAGUUUAUCCACAAAUUCUUUAAAAUCUAUUAGUGCAGAGGGGAAAAUCCACAGAUAAUAAGUGGCUAUUCACAUCGACACCUUCUCACUAAGUAUUCAUGGGAUCACUCUGUCCGACAGCUUGUUUGGGGUUGUGUGAAAGACAAUCUGUCUUAAAUUUAUCUGUCUCCUAGUACAAAAGAAGAAAAAUUCUUCCCUCCUGAUUCUCACCAUAGUAAAAUCAUAGACAUUAAGGAAUAUAGUAUUGAAUCCAAGGACAGACAGAAGGUUUGACUUCAUUUUAUUUGUCUUUGGAAAGAAGAUUUAAAAAAAAACGAGAGUAUAGGGGACUUUUGGGAUAGCAUUUGAAAUGUAAAUGAAGAAAAUAGCUAGUAAAAAAUAUUUUGAAAAAAAUAAAAUGGAAUAUUUAAACAAAAAACAUGGUUUGCUGAAUACUUUGACCCAAUUUGCUAAAAUUGAGCUUAAAUGUCAUACACAUUUUUAAAAAAUCCAUAACCCUACACUUAUAUUCCUUGAUUGUUUCAAGAAUUUUUAUAUGUAUUUCUUUGGUAUGUACAUUUUAUUCAUUGAAAUACCCCAAGCAGCAUCAUUGAUAGAAAAACUGUAAGGAGGUAAUGAAAUCUAGUCCAAACUUGCCUCUCCUAGAGAUGUCAAAUUACUUAUCAGAAAGCUCUCUCUCUCACACACACACAUACACACACACACACACACACACACACACCGCUAAAAACAAAUAAAGCUAAUUGUGCAAGGAGGCCUAGUUCCAGUCUUGAUGGGCCAGGAUAGGGGGAUACUCAGGGCGCCCUACACAUUCAGAGACAAAGAGGAAGCAAGGGAGAGGGUUGGGGGAGGGGGUGACUGGGAGGAGGACAGUGAGUUGGUUGUAAAGUGAAUAAGAAAAAAAUUAUACACACACACACACACACAUUUAUAUAUAAUAAAAUUAUAUAUAUAUAAUUGUUUAGUUGGGACAUACCAAUGACAUUCUUCUAAAGUAUUCUUAUUAAUUUUAAUUGUCUGAGCAUUUCAUAUAUUAUGCUUUGAUCAUAAUCUCUACUCUCCUGCAACAUCUACCUGAGUCAACUUUGGGUUCUCAU